ensembl:ncRNA C52D10.131 ncRNA
UUUCUGGUUUUUUUUACUACCAUUUUCUAUUACGCACACCAGAUCGUCGUUUUAAAGUGCAGGGCUGUACAACUAAUCCUAACU